rfam:Strigamia maritima strain Brora ctg7180001039788, whole genome shotgun sequence.
CAAAUUUUGUUCUCGCCUGUUUAGCAAAAACAUGGUUUAUGGGGUGUGAUUAUCAUAAAUUGGGCCUGCUCGGUGUAUUAUUAACAGCCGCGGUAACUUGACUGUGCAAAGGUAGCAUAAUCAUUAGUUUUUUAAUUGGGGGCUGGAAUGAAAGGUUUGACGGGGAUUGGCUUUUUUUGUUUAUUUUAUGAAUUUUAGUUUAUAGUGAAGACGCUAUAUUGUUGUUAAUUGACGAGAAGACCCCGUAAAGCUUUAAUAUUAUUAUUGAUAUUUUUAUUUAUUUUGUUUUUUGUUGGGGCAACAGGUAUGAGGCAAUAAUGAUUAUUUUAGAGGUUUGGGUUUUUAGUCGGAGUUUUGAUCCAAUAUUUUUGACAUUGAGACAAGCUACUUUGGGGAUAACAGCGUAAUUAGGCCUGAGAGUUCUUAUUGACGGUAUAGUUUGCGACCUCAAUGUUGAAUUAAGAUACCAUUUUAUUGUAGCUGGUAAUUUUGGGGGUCUGUUCGACCUUAAAAUUCUUACAUGAUUUGAGUUCAGACCGGCGUGAGCCAGGUCGGUUUCUAUUUUUUAUUUGUUUGUUCUUUUUUAG